CCCCCCGUGACGCAGCGCAACGGAUUAGCGCGUUGGACUUCUAAUUCAAAGGUUGUGAGUUCGAGUCCCAUCGGGGAUG